rnacentral:rRNA from 1 species
UAGCGUAUAUUAAAGUUGUUGCGGUUAAAAAGCUCGUAGUUGGAUUUCUGUUGAGGACAUCUGGUCCGCUCUAUGAGCGUGCAUCUAGCUUGGCCUCGGCAUCCGCCCUGCAUACGUGUCUGCGCUUGAUUGCGUGGCGCGGAGGUAGGGCCUUUUACUUUGAGGAAAUUAGAGUGUUCACGGCAGGCAAUCGCCUUGAAUAUAUUAGCAUGGAAUAAUAACAUAGGAUCUUGGUUCUAUUUUGUUGGUUUCUAGGGCUAGGAUAAUGAUUAAUAGGGACAGUUGGGGGCAUUCGUAUUGCGGUGUC